rnacentral:rRNA from 1 species
AGUGAACGCUGGCGGUAGGCCUAACACAUGCAAGUCGAACGGCAGCCCAGUAAGAGCUUGCUCUUACGAGUGGCGUGUCGCGGACGGGUGUGGCAUACAUCGGACUCUCCUUUUUCGUGGGGGCUAACGUAGGGAAACUUACGCAAAUCCCGCAUACGACCUACGGGUGAAAGCAGGGGAUCUUCGGACCUUGCUCGAUAGAAUGAGCAGAUCUGGGAUUAGCUAGUUGGCGGGGUAAAGGCCCACCAAGGCGACGAUCCGUAGCUGGUCUGAGAGAAUGAUCAGCCACACUGGAACUGGGACACGGUCCAGACUCCAACGGGAGGCAGCAGUGGGGAAUAUUGGACAAUGGGCGCAAGCCUGAUCCAGCCAGACCGCUGGGGUGAAGAAGGCCUUCGGUUUGCAAAGCCCUUUUGUCGGGAAGGAAGAGCAGCAGGUUAAUACCCCGCUGUUCUGACGGUACCCAAAGAAUAAGCACCGGCUAACUUCGUG